CCCUUAGAUGUCCUGGGCCGCACGCGCGCUACACUGACAUGUUCAACAAGCCUCCUAGUUCGACAGGAUUUGGGAAAUCUUUGAACGCAUGUCGUGAUAGGGAUAGAUCAUUGCAAUUAUUGAUCUUGAACGAGGAAUUCCUAGUAAGCGCGAGUCAUCAGCUCGCGUUGAUUACGUCCCUGCCCUUUGUACACACCGCCCGUCGCUACUACCGAUUGAAUGGUUUAGUGAGGACUCCUGAUUGGCGCCGCCGCCCCGGCAACGGAGCAGCGGACUGCCGAAAAGUUGUUCAAACUUGAUCAUUUAGAGGAAGUAAAAGUCGUAACA
rnacentral:rRNA from 1 species